rnacentral:rRNA from 1 species
GUGGGGAAUAUUGGACAAUGGGCGAAAGCCUGAUCCAGCCAUGCCGCGUGUGUGAAGAAGGUCUUCGGAUUGUAAAGCACUUUAAGUUGGGAGGAAGGGCAGUAAGUUAAUACCUUGCUGUUUUGACGUUACCAACAGAAUAAGCACCGGCUAACUUCGUGCCAGCAGCCGCGGUAAUACGAAGGGUGCAAGCGUUAAUCGGAAUUACUGGGCGUAAAGCGCGCGUAGGUGGUUCAGCAAGUUGAAGGUGAAAUCCCCGGGCUCAACCUGGGAACUGCGUUCAAAACUGCUGAGCUAGAGUACGGUAGAGUGUGGUGGAAUUUCCUGUGUAGCGGUGAAAUGCGUAGAUAUAGGAAGGAACACCAGUGGCGAAGGCGACCACCUGGACUGAUACUGACACUGAGGUGCGAAAGCGUGGGGAGCAAACAGGAUUAGAAACCCCAGUAGUCC